GUCGGCAGCGGCGGCGGCAGCGGGGCUGCUGCUCCUCCCAGCAUCCCUGGCGCGGCCAUUUCAGCCCCAUCUUGGCCGAGGGGAGGGAGCUGCAGCCGCCGCUUCAGCAGUUUGAAUUUCAGUUUCUACAGGGCCUGCGAACCGGGCGCAUCGAGGAAGAGUCGAAGAAGCUACCGCAGCUACCUCACACAGCCGGCGCGCCGUCGCUUGCCGGCCUGCCGGCCGCCGCCCCUCACUCUCUCAGGAGCCGCGAGGGGAAGGCCGAGACCGCCGCCACCGCCCGCUCGCGGGGGUGGCUCCCCCUGUAUAGGGGAGGACCGAGCCGGCUUUCCCCUCCCCCGGAGCAGGUUUCCGCCUGAGACAGUCGACAUGUCCCUGGGACUGAGCUCCGGCUAGAGCCGGGGAGGGAGGGCCGCCCGCCCGCGCCGAAGCUCCGCCACCCGCCCGCGGCUCCUGGCUGAAUCAGGAAUCCCUGGCCCCGGACUCGCCACUCCUACUCUUGCUUCCCUCGGCGUCCGAGAGCCCGGAGCUGACGCCGGCACUGGUUCGAAGAGCCGGAGCGGGGCAGCACCGCCCCUCACGCCGCCGCCGCCUCCCCUUCGCCCUCCCACUCCCACCCCCAGCCUAGGCCUGUUGACCGCGCGGAGCUGGAUUGACCACGGCGGCCCGAAGACGCGAGGAGGAAGCAGCCGACCCGCCCCUGGGAUAGUGGUCUCGCCGCCACUGGGGGGAUUGAAUUGAGGCGCCGCGACUGCGGGAGGCGAGAAGGAAGGAGGAGCCGCCGCACGAGUGAGACGGGGGCAGAGCGGUAGAGACCGACUCGGAUAAGGAAACGGGAGGAGGAUGUCUCACGGAGCGACCGGCGCCCGGAUCAGCCCGUGACUCUUACAGCGGCGGGCCUCAGACCCCAGCACGGACACGGACUUUGUCUUUGGGGGCCAGUGUUCUGCCCUUCCUGGUUUCCGGCAAGAUCGCGGAGGAGCCGGGUGCUUCUGCCCUUCCAGCCUUCCUCACCAUGUCCAAGAUGCCGGCCAAGAAGAAGAGCUGCUUCCAGAUCACCAGUGUCACCACGGCCCAGGUGGCUACUAGCAUCACCGAGGACACCGAGAGCCUGGACGACCCGGAUGAGUCACGCACGGAGGACGUUUCUUCCGAGAUAUUCGACGUUUCUCGGGCCACGGAUUACGGCCCCGAGGAGGUCUGCGAGCGCAGCUCCUCCGAAGAGACACUCAACAAUGUUGGGGAUGCGGAGACUCCCGGAACCGUCUCCCCCAACCUUCUCCUGGACGGACAGCUGGCGGCCGCGACAGCCGCUCCGGCCAACGGAGGAGGAGCCGUUUCGGCCCGGAGCGUGGCCGGGGUGCUGGCCAGCACCCUGUCGCCGGCCGCCCCCUCAGCCCCCUCCUCGGGGGCCCCCGGCGCCCCCCCGGUCACAGGCCCGUCGGCCACGCCGGGAACUGCCGCCUCAUCACAGCCCCCCACCGCUUGUAGUUCGCGUUUUCGCGUGAUCAAGCUGGACCACGGCAGCGGGGAGCCUUAUAGACGCGGCCGAUGGACGUGUAUGGAAUACUAUGAGCGGGAUUCCGAUAGCAGCGUCCUGACCCGGUCCGGGGAUUGCAUUAGGCACAGCAAUACUUUUGACCAGACUGCGGAGCGGGACAGCGGCCUGGGCGCCACCGGAGGGUCGGUGGUGGUGGUGGUGGCCUCCAUGCCAGGCGCGCACGGGCCCGACUCGGGAACUGACAGCUCCUUGACUGCUGUGUCACAGCUACCCCAGUCGGAGAAAAUGAGCCAACCCGCCCCGGCCCCGCCGCAGAGUUUUGGCGUUGGGCAGCCGCAGCCGCCGCCUCCGCCCGUAGGUGGGGCUGUGGCUCCAAGCUCGGCUUCGUUGCCGCUGUUCCCGGGAGCCGCGGCCGCGCCGCCGCAGAGGUUGGCAGCCCCGCCGCCCAGCCAGGCCCAGGGCGCCGGGCCCCCGGGGCCCAACGGACAGGGCCUGCCACUGACGAAUGUAACCCUGGCGCAGCCCGGCCUGGCCGUGGGCGCUGCCACCGCGCCCCCGCCCCAGCAGUUCGCGUAUUCUCAGCCUCAGAUGCCGCCGGGCCAUCUGCUGCCCGUCCCGCCCGCCGGCCAGAGUGAGUACCUGCAGCCGCACGUGGCCGGCCUGCAGCCGCCCAGCCCGGCGCAGCCCUCUUCCGCGGGCGCGGCAGCUGGUCUCGCCGCGGCCGCCGGUCUCCCCGCGGGCACUGGCCAGAACGCCGCCUCCACUGGCGCGCAGAUGAUGGGUGCGCCCUCCUUGCCCGGAGAAGCGGUGGCCCCUGGGCCGGGCCCCGCGCCCGGAGGACCGGCCGCGCAGGGUCAGCCGGCCGGAGUGCCCCCGGCUACUGUGGGAGGCACGGCGCCAUCGGGCCUGAUUCCCGCCGGGGUCGGGCAGCCGCAGGCCGCGCCUCUGCCGCAGAUGGGUGGCAGUGGCGCGCCGUCGGUCGUGCCCGGCGGCCCUCUCGCCGUGGUGCCCGGAGUUGCCAACGUGCCUGCAGCCGCGCCCGCUCCCAGCGUGCCUAGUGUGUCGACGACUUCUGUUACUAUGCCAAAUGUUCCCGCGCCCCUGGGCCAGGCGCCGCAGCUUUGCAGCCAGCCUCCGGUCAGCAGGAGCGGCAGCAGCAUCCAGCACGUGGGGCUGCCCUUAGCGCCUGGCACAGCCAGUGCCCCGACGAGUCUACCGCAGUCUGACCUGAGCCAGUUUCAGACUCAGACCCAGCCUUUAGUCGGGCAAGUUGACGAUACUAGAAGAAAAUCAGAACCCCUACCUCAACCAUCACUUUCUCUCAUUGCUGAAAAUAAGCCUGUUGUGAAGCCUCCUGUUGCAGAUGCCCUGGCAAAUCCCCUUCAAUUAACACCUAUGAACAGUCUCGCCACCUCUGUAUUCAGCAUAGCUAUUCCUGUUGAUGGUGAUGAAGACAGGAAUCCUUCAACUGCUUUCUACCAAGCGUUCCAUUUGAACACGGUUCAGGAAUCAAAGAACCUCUGGGAUAGAAUUUUUUUUAGAAUUCAGCAUCGGAGGAGGAAUGUGACAUAAUAAUGAUCGAAAGCCGAAAGUUUAAAAGUUGUGAUGCCCUCACAUGGUUGAAGGGUUAUUCUAGCUUCUAAGGACUGAAUGUUGUCCACAAGAGUGUCUCAUCAGGUCAUAAAUUGUGCAUCUGGGGGAGGUGGUGUAGCCAUUGACAACAAAAUAGAACAAGCAAUGGAUCUGGUGAAAAGCCAUUUGAUGUAUGCAGUAAGAGAAGAAGUGGAAGUUCUAAAGGAACAAAUAAAAGAAUUAGUUGAAAGAAACUCUUUACUUGAACGAGAAAAUGCACUGUUAAAAUCUCUUUCAAACAAUGAUCAAUUAUCCCAACUCCCAGCCCAACAAGCCAAUCCUGGUAGCACUUCUCAACAGCAAGCAGUGAUAGCACAGCCUCCGCAGCCAACGCAACCUCCACAGCAGCCGAAUGUCUCCUCAGCAUAAAGCUUUCUUGCCUCAUUAAGAAAAAAACUGAAAGCAAUCUAUCCUUGUGUGCCACUGGUGUUCUUUCCACUUUAUACGAAAGCAAGUAGCCAUGCUUCAGUUGUGUGUUUGGCCCUUUCAGUAUUAGACAAUCAUUCUACAAGAGCUUUUCCUCUCUGAGAUGUCAUGCAGCGCUGUUGGUGUCCAGUUUCUGUCAUCAGUACACAAGGAGAGUAAUAGAUGAGGUGUAUUAAAGUGAGCAGAGUUUGCAUUUUACCUGGUGCACACGAGUAGGGUCUUUUAAGAGCUUUGGUGGCUCUCCCAUGUUUCCUAUUACCCAUGGAUUUACCCUGAGCCUUUCUAUCAUAUUAUAAAUAACAGUUCAUCUAAAGAGCCACUUUUCUUUCAAUAUCAGUAACAUUUGCCUACAUAAGUUUUCAUUUAUUUGUGUUUUAUUUAUUACAGGGCUGCUAUUUUCAUAAUGUACAUGAACAAUGUCACAGAACUUUUUUAAUUUUUUGGAAUAAUUAUAAGUAUCAGUAAAGGAAUUGAAAGACAGGAUUGCAUUUAAUAGAUAAAACGUUUAGGCAAUAAUUGAACAAAAGAAUCCUGGCAUAUUUCUAACACUAAUGGCAAUUUACCUUCGGUAUUUAUUUUCAGUAGUAAAGACCCAGCUUGAAUGUAAAUUUUGUAUAGUGUAAGUAUGAAGAACAUAGUGCAACUGUACAGGUAGUCACCAGUUAUUGUGAUAUAAUAAAUAAUUGGGCUAUUUUGAUGAAGAAAACUGUUCAUUUGUUUCUACUUUCUAAUAGAAAUUGCCACGAUUCCUCUGCUUUUUGACAUUUCGUAUGACUUUUUUCGGGUGGGAAUAAAAAGCUGUGAAAUUGUUCAACCUACUUUGUAACCAAAGAAGCAAAGCUGUGUAAUGGAGUUUUGUUUGUUUUCUUUUUUUUUUUAUAAUGCACAUUCUUUAUGUAUUUUUAUUUAGUGUUUUCUCGGUCACAAUUUUCUUUGCUGUCUAGCAUGAUCUGCAUGACCUAUAAUCUUUGAACCACUUUCGUACCUCAUGUUUUUAUCCAGCACUCUUAUUGUAAUAUGUACUAGUCUGUGAACAAUGUCAAAUAAAAAAGAACGAACAGGUAGUGUGGUGGAGCUAGCUAGUGUAUUAUACACUAGUUGUAAAAAUAAAAAUGAAGUGAGCCAUCUUUUGUUCAUUUAAAAUGGUGUUUUGAAUUUCGUAUGCAGAAAACGUUUUGUUACAUUGCAGAUUUUAAUGUAUUUAAUAAAUGCAACAUGCAGAUUAAGUGCAGUGUAUACUGAGUAUUUAAAUUAAAAUGUACAUUUCAUAAAUACAGUUUCAAGAGAAAGCAUCAUUUUGUGUAUACUAACACAUUAAGUGUGUGUCAGAAAUUGAUGUAUAAAUAUAUAUUUUAACACAUUUUCUGAAAUUAAACUGCAGUUUUGUUGAAAUAUUUGGCUCUAUAUGUGUUCAAAAUUUAAUUUGAUUAGAUUUGUAUUUUCACAGUUCCAGAUAUUCCUUCAAUGAAAACCUGUUACUAAUGACUUAAGGAUGGUUCUUAAAUCUUCAAGGUAAAAUAACUUAAAGAAUGCAAGAACAGUGAGCAAUAUUUGUACUUGAUACUCAUAUUAUGUCAAUGACAUUUAAGUAGGAAAUCCUUGUCUACCAAAACUUUUACUUGAAUUCAGAAAGGUGCCUGUAGAAAUUAAGAUGCUCUAUAUCUAUAGCCAACUAGCUAAUCAGGAGUUACUGAGAAUCAAUAAUUAGCUCUCUGCAUUAAAAGAAGACAAAUGUUCUUUAUUUAAAAUAAAAAGCCACAAACUAAAUGCAUAAAAUCAGAGUGUACAUGGAACUUCCAGUUAUUUUAUAUUCUACUUAUGCUGCAGGAUAUAUUCACUAAAAACAGAACUUUAAUGUUAAUAGAAAUAACUAAAGGAACUUAAGUCCUUAGGCUUGAAGAAGCAACCCGAAGAUAUGGAGUAAGAUUGCUAAGUAGAGCUGUAUCAGAUGAGCUAGGAAGUGAAACUUCCGUGUUGGAAUGUUUACCAAAAGGCUCUCCGGGUGUGCCCCUGAAGUGCGAACAGUAUAUUUAAUACAGGUGGAGAAAAACUAGUAUUAGGAAAAGUUGGAAUUUUUGUGAAAAUAUCAAUUUUGGUGUUGGGAGUAGAAAAACACUAUAAUUCCUAAGUAAUAGUCAUAAAGGAAAUGAUUCAUAUGUUUAAAAUGGUAAUUUAAAGCAAUUAUGAUUACAUUUUUUUAAAAUCACAGUAGAAUACAUGAAUAGUUCACAGAAGAAAUAAAUGGCAGUUUCUAAGGGUUUAACCUCUAGUAAUCUAAAAAAUACAAGUUAGUAUUUAACAAAAUUAUUUGUCUUUAAAUAGCAGGACCUAAUGUAGAAAGGCAAGCUUUCUGUAAAUGUCUAAAAAGUAAGUUGGCAAAAAUGUACUGAGCCUUAAAUAUUAACAAACUUCAAUUUAAUGACAUGAGAAGAUAACUAAUGGUGCCAUGUUCAAAAAAUGCUAAACUAUAGUAGUGCCUGUUGUUUGCUUCCCAACUCCCCUGCCUUCCCUUUGGACCUGUGGAAGGAAACCUGUAUAUCCAUACCUACUCUCAUGAGUCCCCCACUUCAAAGUCAGGGACAACUUAGCGUGGAAAAUCUAUAUGCUUGUCUGCAUCAGAUAGACUGUAUUUUAAAGCAACAUCAAGCAUUCCUCCAAUUGAUUAAAUCUUUAAAUUUCAGUUUUACCUCUGAUACUUAGGGUCUCCAAUUAACACAUAGCUGGAAUAUCAAUUUACUAAGAUGCUAGUUUAGGAGCACAGUCUUUGUAUGAAUGCCAUCUGUAAUUUUCUCAGUGAAAUGCUCACAGGCCAGGGUACCACAGAGGUUUUCUGUUUAUUUACUUUAGCCAACUGCAGAAUCAUAGGACAUUUUGUUUCUGAUAUGGCAAUAUGUACAAACUUUAUUGCCCCCCCCAAAAAAUUAGGUAGCUACAAUGUUAUUUUAUAGCUUACUAUACCACCCCCCAAAAAAGGGGUUGCGAGAUAUACAUGGUUAUUUUAACUCAUAAUUUUUUGUCCAAAAAUAGCUGGAUAUUGCCAAUUCUAUUUCCAAUGUUCUGAACUAAGCAUAACAAGUAUAAAGACAGGAAUGCUUUACUAUCAAGCCCUCAGUGAUGGCCAAUUAAAACUCAUUAUUCUGUCAUGGGUCAGAGAUGAGGGUAUUUCUCCAAGUUCCAAACACUAGUCAUUUCUGGACCUUUAAAAAAAAAUGGAAGGGGGAAAAGGGGUGCAGUGUACUUAAGAUUAUAGUAACCAAAAUAUCUGUUCAUGAAAAUUCUUUGUAGAACCAGAAUUAAAAUAUCACUGGAUUUUCUGGAAGCAAAUUUUUAAGAUGAAGUUGGUUUUUUUUUAAGGAAGUUAUAGCUCAGUGGCAGGCAGUUUGUGAUGUGACUCAAUUCUCUUUACUAAUUGAAUUCAAUUGAAAAGGACAAAGCCCACCCUUCAACAUUCAGAGUUUAAGGAUAUAGACAAACCAAGAGAUACAAUGGCAAUAAUAAAGGUCUCUUAUGCACCAUCAAGGAUGGCUUUGUUAGGGAAGAUUUCUCAAAGAGGUGACACCUGAGUCUUGAAGGUCACAAAAGUAAAACAGUGCUCAAAGAGUAUAAGCAAGGCUUGUUUCCUAGGAGGCAGGCAGUCAACGACUGCCUCACUCACCUGGCAUCGAUUAGGAAAGCAGGAAUGAUUUCGUGAAUUUAAGCAAUUGGAUUGUAAUUAGAAUUUCAUUUCAGAAAAAUGAAUCAUUCCAGCAGUGCAUAAGAGGUCGUUGAGGGGUAAAACUAAAAGCUGACAUAAUUUAGGAAGGACAGUAGUAUUAACGUAAAAGAAAUGAUGGAUAGGCAAAAUUGCAUAGGCCAUCUUCUGACAUUCAUGAAGGAAGCUGGUCGUGAGUCUUUCUGUAUCAUCUUUGCCUCCAUGAUGAACAUUACAUUCCUAGCAUCAGGUGCCUCUUGCGCCAAGGAAAGAUCAGAGAGAACUCUUAAGUCUUAGUUUGAGUAAGACUUUUGCUUCCAUAUAUCUCUAUGAAAUGAAAGUCUUUGUUUCCUGUUUAAGGAAUUUCAAGAAUUUAAAUAAAGGGUAGGGGGGACUAGACCAGCCUUGGCUGUCUUUUAAUGCCUUUGUGUAAAUCCAGUCCUAAAGGUAAACCAAAUUUAGCUCUUUUAUAGUGACUAGGGAUUAGAGUGGCCCAGAAGGAUGAAUUCAAGGUGUGUCCCUCAGAGCUCUCUCUUCCUCCCCAGAAAGGAUAAUAUGGGUUCUACCUCCAUUGCAGACAUUUGACAACCCAAAUCAGAAUGGGUUCUGCUAGGCUGUAGCCUUUCAUUCUUUGACACAGUUCAGUUCAGGUUUCUUUCUGCCCUAUGAGCCCCUGCCUAAGCAAAACUGGACAUUUUCUUCCACCUCCUCCUGGCUAGUAAUCCAUGUUUCUAUAUUCUAGCAAUACUAAUAGUUUCUUAUUUAGAGAUGUAUAUUUGCAUCCUGUUUUUUUCCCUUUUUUGACUUUCCAGAAUGCAUUCCAGUUUCAUUUAUUUCUCUAGCAGGUUUCAGAAUUUUUAUGGUAAGAUCAGCUCUUUAUAAGCAUGUAUUCCUUUCGUCAGUAGAGAGAUUCUUGUAAAAGUGCUUCUUAAUGAUUUCCUUCAGUUCACUGCAAUUGGAUUGACGUGUUCACAAAUAAAAAUGGUAAGCGGGGCACUAUACAAAGAAAGUUUAAGGUCUUAGAUGGCCUUUUUGUUUUUAGCAGAAUCGUCAAAAAUAAAAGUAAGACAGCCUUUCAGGAUUGAUAAUGGUAAAGUAAGAAGCUGCUAUUCUGCACUGGCACAGUCUACUUGGCUCAUAGAACUUGUUCAACAUUCUUGGACCAUGUAAGUUAGAUUUAUUUUUCCUUCUCCUCAUCAGGGAAACUGAUAGAUUAAAUAGUUCAGGGAGUUUCCCCAAGGUCUAAUGACUUAGGUUGAGCUAUUAAACAGAGCAUUGAAGUUUAUGAACUAAGGCAUUACCCAUGAGAGCCAAAGUCACUCCUCUGAAAGAAGGAAAAGGAGUGCUAACUUUGAUCCUAAAAAUAACUGAAUUUUAAAAUAUAGCAUAUGUAACACUUUUACUUCCCCAUAAAAAGUUGAAUUUACCUUUUUAAUUCAUUGUUUUGCAUGCCUGAUAUUUUUCUGUAUAACAACCAUAAAGUAUGCUUGCCCACUUAAAUUCAGAAUGUUUCCCAGAUCUCAGUUCUCGCUGUCAUUUAGCAAGCAAGCAGUGUAUCUAUAGAUAGAUCAUACCUGAGGCAGUCCAUGAACAGCAAGGGAACAUUUUUCUCACAUUUGGGUGUGAACUGUCAGGUCAGUGUCUAGUUCUAGUGUUCCUACUUUAAGAAAACAAUAAAAAUUCACAAAAUAUAUAUAAUUUAAUCAGGCGGCAGAUGGACAGAAAAAAAUAUGCAUAACUUUGUUAUGCCCCUAAAUUUUUUUUUUAGAAACUUGAGUUUUGUUUUUUUAUUUUAUAGGAACACUAUUGAAAUGCAAUUCAAUUCUAGUUCAAGUCAGGCACUGCCUGCAGCCUGAAUGGAAUGUUUGGGGGUAGAAAAAUGAGGCAUGAUUUAAACACUUCAGGAGUUCAUGGUCCAAUGUAAAAGUAAAAGAGCAUCACAUUGUUUUUCAAAGUAAAUCUCAUGAUUUGUGGACCUCAUUUCAUUUGUGGAAUGAAACAUUCUUAUAAAUGAACAGUAAUAUUGCCAUGCCAUGUGAAACCCUUUGACAUUACCAGGAAACAACUUGAAAUCACCAAAAAGCUUUAACAUCAAAUACUUCUAGAAAGAGGGGACCUGGCGAAAAGACCUUCCAUCUCUAUAUUUAGCCUGCAAGGUAUCCCCUAAGAAAGGAACUAGUCUGAAAGAGAAGUUUACACAUUUCUUAAUACUCUAAGUUUGUAGAUAACAAAAUUGAUUUAAAUAAAAAGAAUUCUUGUAUCAUGAAUUAUAUCCUCUAUUGUCUCAUAAACAACACAUUCAUUAUCUUAGCUGACAAAAUCAGUUACCAUUCAGUGAACCAAGUUAAUAAUAACUCAGGUACCUAAUACCAAAAUGAAAUGUGAUAAAGCUGAGAAUCCAGAAAGAAACACACACGUGUUGAGUAAAUCAUAAAAGUGACAUUUCAAAUCAAUAAGGGAAGAAUGGAUUAUUCAGCAAAUAGUACUAAGAUAACAUAACCUUUUGGUAAAAAAUAAUUUUAGAUCUCUUAACUCACAAAAAUUAAUUCCAGUAGGACUCACGCUUUUUGGUCACAUACACAUAUUUAGAAAUAUCCCUAUGAAAGUACGUAAGCAAGAAGUUUUGCAAGUAGAUUGUGAAGAGAUGCCCAACUUUAGACUAAUAAGGGGAAUGCACAUUAAAACACAAGAGACUAUCUCAGAUCCAAUUGGCAAAAUAUUUAAAAUAUAAAUCAAGAGUCUGAGGAAACAGGAUUCCUACCUUACCAGGGAGCAUAUAAAUUAGCACAGCCACUUCUAAAGACAACCAAAUGGUAUCCAUUACAAUUUUAAAUUCACAUGCCCUAUGACCCAAUAUUUUUCCAUUUUUAACGAAACACACUUUACACACUUUUAUUCAUAAUGUAGCUUCUACGGUGAUGUCUGUUGUUCCUUUGGUUGUAACUAUAAAACUGGAAAAACCAAAAUAUGCAUCUAGGGAAUGGAGCAUGGUACGUGUUAUACAUGGUACAUGUUAUAGAUAGACAUCAGUGAAAAAGAAUUGAGAGUCCUACAUGCACUGACAUGGAAAGAUCUCUUAAGAUACAAUGUUAAGUUUUUUUAAGAGUUUAGGGGAAAAUAGAAGGAUAAUACAUGAAAUACACAUGGUACCACUGAUGUUAAAACACAUACCACACCCAUUCACACAAAUACUGUAUAGUGUACAUCCUAAGCACCUAAUUGUGUAUUAUAAAAAUGUAUAGAGAAGGUCUGGAAGGGUACUAACCAAACUGUUCACAGUAGUUUGGUGGAGUGCGUUAGCUUUACCUGUAAUGUUUGAUGUUUUUGAGUAUGCAUUCAUGUAUUGUUUGUGUAAUGGACCAAUUAAUAAAUUAGAAAUAAAAUAAAAUA